rnacentral:lncRNA from 1 species
UGGUUUUCCAGGAGAGAGAGGAAAGUCAGGCCCAGAUGGAGAACCUGGAAGAAAGGGAGAGGCUGGAGAGAAAGGCUGGCCUGGCUUGCAGGGAGCCCCAGGAGAGAGAGGUGCCAAAGGAGACAGGGGACCUCCUGGUGAUGUAGGAGAAACAGCCGUUUCUAGAAAGGGGGAACCUGGGGAUGCUGGGCCUCCAGGAGAUGGUGGAUUCUCAGGAGAAAGAGGUGAUAAAGGAAUCCCAGGGAUUCAAGGGGGAAGAGGAGAUCCCGGGAGAGAUGGACCGCCUGGGCUCCACAGAGGGCAGCCUGGGAUGGAUGGGCCUCCUGGGCCUCCUGGCCCCCCUGGCCCUCCAGGAUCACCUGGACUGAGAGGAGUCAUUGGUUUUCCGGGAUUUCCAGGUGACCAGGGUGAUCCAGGCUCUCCAGGACCCCCUGGAUUCUCAGGAGAUGAUGGAGCAAGAGGACCGAAAGGAAACAAAGGGGACCCUGCCAGUCAGUAUGGUCUACCCGGUCCAAAGGGUGAACCAGGUAGCCCUGGAUACCAAGGACAUACUGGAGACUCUGGAGAGAAAGGCUUUCCUGGAGAUGAAGGGCCCCGAGGACCACCAGGCAGACCUGGACAGCCUGGCUCUCUUGGACCACCAGGGUGUCCAGGUGACCCAGGGAUGCCUGGACAAAAGGGCCAUCCAGGGGAAGUGGGAGACCCCGGGCCAAGAGGUUAUUCGGGAGAUUUAGGGAGACCAGGUCCUGCAG